GACAGAGGGUGCUAGCGUUGUUCGGAAUUACUGGGCGUAAAGGGCGCGUAGGCGGCUCGUUUAGUCGGGUGUGAAAUCCCGGGGCUCAACCCCGGAACUACAUUCGAUACUGGCGGGCUAGAGACCGGAAGAGGUGGGUGGAAUACCCAGUGUAGAGGUGAAAUUCGUAGAUAUUGGGUGGAACACCGGUGGCGAAGGCGGCUCACUGGUCCGGUUCUGACGCUGAGGCGCGAAAGCGUGGGGAGCAAACAGG
rnacentral:rRNA from 1 species